UACAGAGGUCCCAAGCGUUGUCCGGAUUUACUGGGCGUAAAGAGCGCGCAGGCGGUCGUUCAAGUCGCGUGUGAAAGCCCCCGGCUCAACUGGGGAGGGUCACGCGAUACUGAUCGACUCGAAGGCAGGAGAGGGUAGUGGAAUUCCCGGUGUAGUGGUGAAAUGCGUAGAUAUCGGGAGGAACACCAGUGGCGAAGGCGACUACCUGGCCUGUUUCUUGACGCUGAGGCGCGAAAGCUAGGGGAGCAAACGGG
rnacentral:rRNA from 1 species